rnacentral:rRNA from 1 species
CCUACGGGUGGCAGCAGUGAGGAAUAUUGGUCAAUGGACGAGAGUCUGAACCAGCCAAGUAGCGUGAAGGAUGACUGCCCUAUGGGUUGUAAACUUCUUUUAUCUGGGAAUAAAAUGUUCCACGUGUGGGAUUUUGUAUGUACCAUAUGAAUAAGGAUCGGCUAACUCCGUGCCAGCAGCUGCGGUAAUACGGAGGAGCCGAGCGUUAUCCGGAUUUAUUGGGUUUAAAGGGAGCGUAGGUGGAUUGUUAAGUCAGUUGUGAAAGUUUGCGGCUCAACCGUAAAAUUGCAGUUGAAACUGGCAGUCUUGAGUACAGUAGCGGUGGGCGGAAUUCGUGGUGUAGCGGUGAAAUGCUUAGAUAUCACGAAGAACUCCGAUUGCGAAGGCAGUUCACUGGACUGCAACUGACACUGAGGCUCGAAAGUGUGGGUAUCAAACAGGAUUAGAUACCCCUGUAGUC